UUCCUACGGGAGGCAGCAGUGGGGAAUAUUGCACAAUGGGGGAAACCCUGAUGCAGCGACGCCGCGUGAGCGAAGAAGUAUUUCGGUAUGUAAAGCUCUAUCAGCAGGGAAGAAAAAAAUGACGGUACCUGAGUAAGAAGCACCGGCUAAAUACGUGCCAGCAGCCGCGGUAAUACGUAUGGUGCAAGCGUUAUCCGGAUUUACUGGGUGUAAAGGGAGCGUAGGCGGCGCGUUAAGUCUGAUGUGAAAACCCGAGGCUCAACCACGGGAGUGCAUUGGAAACUGUUAUUCUAGAGUAUGGGAGG
rnacentral:rRNA from 1 species